rnacentral:rRNA from 1 species
UACAGAGGGGGCAAGCGUUGUUCGGAAUUACUGGGCGUAAAGGGCGCGUAGGCGGCCUGCUAAGUCGAACGUGAAAUCCCCGGGCUCAACCCGGGAACUGCGUUCGAUACUGGCAGGCUUGAAUCCGGGAGAGGGAUGCGGAAUUCCAGGUGUAGCGGUGAAAUGCGUAGAUAUCUGGAGGAACACCGGUGGCGAGGGCGGCAUCCUGGACCGGGAUUGACACUGAGGCGCGAAAGCGUGGGGAGCAAACAGG